GCCUGCCUAGCUCAAUCGGAUAGAGCGUCAGACUCUUAUGAUGUGGCAGGAAUCUGAAGGCUGCGAGUUCGACCCUCGCGGUGGGCU
rfam:Lentinula edodes NBRC 111202 DNA, contig: scaffold14.